UCUAUGACUGCCUAACAGCUGCAGUAAGAUAAAGGCCUAGACAGCUUCCCAGUCAGGAGCAGGUAGAAGUUAUGCAGUUCGGUGAAACCAGUCAGUGCUGGAAGAUUUGACUUUGAUAUAAUGAAAUCAAACAAAGAAGAAUUAAUGAGAGAGAAAGAGAAUGAGAGAGAGACAGAACCAGACCCACCAAUGGAAGGAAUCUCCUUUUCUCUUG
rnacentral:lncRNA from 10 species